rnacentral:piRNA from 1 species
UAAGAAAGUAGGCUGAGAAAGACAGUAAGC